rnacentral:lncRNA from 1 species
GAUAGUCAUGAGCUAGGAUAAGCUUAGUACUACCUCUUUAUUCUCUUUAUUUUCUUUGUAGUUGAAGAGUAAUGGAUAGUUUUUGAAUAUUAUGAAGUGAAUCUAUGAAAUAAAUCAGAGAUUGAUUUAUGAGAUAUUGAAUAUGUAAUUGGAGUACUGUAUAAUUGAAUUAUUAUGAAAAGAUAAUAGAAGUUCAUUAUUAGAUUUUGUGGAAGAUUGAUUUUGGAUAAAAAAUUAUGAUUGUUGUUAAUUGAGAGUUGUGUGUGUUUUGACAGAAGAACUCUGUGAUAACAAAAAUUGUAUGAAGUGAGAUUGAUUGGAGUAAAAUACUAUUAUUUCUAAUAUUGGAUAAAAUUUAUAUGUUUUGAGUGGUAUUGUGAGAGUGCAAGAUUACACAUUAUUGUUAUUAGUUGAUGAAAGAGUAUUAUUAGUGGGAGAAAGUAUUGUAGUAUUCUU